CAGUCGCCGCGGUAAUACAGAGGGUGCAAGCGUUAAUCGGAAUUACUGGGCGUAAAGCGCGCGUAGGUGGUUUGUUAAGUUGGAUGUGAAAUCCCCGGGCUCAACCUGGGAACUGCAUCCAAAACUGGCAAGCUAGAGUAUGGUAGAGGGUGGUGGAAUUUCCUGUGUAGCGGUGAAAUGCGUAGAUAUAGGAAGGAACACCAGUGGCGAAGGCGACCACCUGGACUGAUACUGACACUGAGGUGCGAAAGCGUGGGGAGCAAACAGGAUUAGAGACCCGAGUAGUCCCUGUCUCUUAUAC
rnacentral:rRNA from 1 species